GUAAAACCGAACAUGCCUGUCAAAUUUGAGCGCAAAUGGACAUUCAGAAGGGCUCCAAUUAAAUGUAUCAGACUAGAAUUGGACUAAGUGAUAAUAAUUGAUGAUUUGUGGACCUAAAGGCAAUUGUUACAUUGCUUACAAGGACUUCCACUAGGCUGCCAGGGGACUUCCAUUCUUAUCCUCUCCCUGUACGCAUGAGAGAGAGAGUGAAAGGAAGAGAAAAGGGAAUAGAGAGAAGAAGAAGAAGAAAGUAACAAAUUUUGGUGCCGUUUGUCGUUUGUCGAGCCGAUCGAAACGCCGCGCAUCGGAUUUUUAGCAUUUCGACAUUCGGGAGCCGAUUUUGCGAGCGUUUCGUCGACGGAUUUUUCCGUGACUUUCGGAUUGUUGUGGCUGCCAUGCGGAUUGGGUUUGGGCUGUUAGGUAAUUCCAGAGCAAGGUUCGGAAGCUUAGCUCGGAAUUGAUCACCUGUCAACCUAAUUGGGGGUAAAGCGAAUGCGUUGGAAAACUCGGAUCGACGUUUCGACGAGUCUACGGCACGCUAACGAGGAAAACCUCCUUUUAGCCUAAGUUAUUGCGAGCAAGGAUUGUGAUCAUUCGUAAAGUACGGGAAGUGGAAUUUUGGCAUUCCAAUAUCAAGUAAAGGUGGAUUGUGCUUUACCGAAGUGAUUAGGUCACUUCCAUGCCAAAUUCUCACCCCCGUGUUGUUUUGGGGGUACAGGUUAGCACGUGAGCGGCGCGACGGCGCGAGGACAGGGCGUAGCUUCAUAGAUAGCGCCCUACCACCGAGACCAGAGAUAGCAGUACCCAGAAGCAGUCUAGCUCAGAGUAUAAGUGUGAAAGAAACAAACUUGUAUCAAAUUUGUAUAAAUUGUAAUAAUUUAAAGGCUUAUAAAAUUUUGUAAAUGUAAAAUCUGUAAGA